ensembl:lincRNA Gm14565 predicted gene 14565
CCUGUCAAGCUGACUCCACCAGAGUGCGUGGCAGAAAUGCAAAUAGUUCUUCCUGUGUAAGAAAUAACAAACAUCUUCUGAAAUACUCCCUCUGCAAAGCCUCUUUGGAAAAACAAAUGACUAUCCAGGUUCUAUUCUUAGCCAUGCCUAGUUAAAAUCAGGCAUUUUGGAGGUAACUGUAGAACUUGGGGCUAAAGAAAAAAAUGGCUCCUUUUAAAAUCAAGUUGCGGCCUUCUGGUUUCUAUCUCCACCUGUAGCAAAUCCUCUGCCACUGGGCUCCAUACCCAAAUAGCGCCUUGAGGGAGCAAGCUUCCCAGGAGUGCAGACAGGACUGUGAGUACAGGGAGAACCAUCACUGCUGCUCAGAGGAACUUGUCCAGAACCUCAGGACCCAGGAACCAAGGGGCAGCUUGGGACAGGAGCCUUACUGUCUCAGGAGAGAGCUGGUCUCCCAGGAGUGCCUACACACCUGUGAGCACAGAUAAGACCACCACUUCUCUUCAAAUUCCUGGCCCAAGAGGGACUCUCACAGAGCCAUCAAGAUACAGGAACCAAGGAUCAGCUGGGGACAGAAUCUUUCUGGUUUCUGUCUGCACCCCAGAGCUGACCCUGUACCACAGCUCUCCAUACCUAAAUUCCUCCCAGAGAGAACUGGUCUCCCAGGAGUACUGACACACAGGCUUGCAGGAGGGACAAGCCAAAGUCAGAGACAGCAAGACCAGCUAACACCAGAGAUAGCCAGAUAUUGAGAGGUAAGCACAAGAGCAUUAGCAACAGAAACCAAGACUACUUGGCAUCAUCAAAACCCAGUUCUCCCAUCACAGCCAAAGCCCUGGUUACCCCAACACACCAGAAAGGCAAGACUGAUUCAAAAUCACAUCUUAUGGUGGUGAUAGAGGAAUUUAAGAAGGACAUAAAUAACUCCCUUAAAGAAAUACAGGAGAACACAGGAAAACAGGUAGAAAACUUUAAAGAGGAAACAUAAAAAUCCCUUAAAGAAUUACACAACCAAACAGGUGAAGGAACUAAACAAAACCAUCCAGGAACUAAAAAUGGAAAUAGAAACAAUAAAGAAAUCACAAAGGGAGACAACACUGGAGAUAGAAAAACUAGGAGUAACAGAUGCAAGGAGUCACGGUAUAUACCCAGAAGAUGCUCCAACAUGUAAUAAGGACACAUGCUCCACUAUGUUCAUAGCAGCCUCAUUUAUAAUAGCCAGAAGCUGAAAAGAAUACAGAUGUCCCUCAACAGAGGAAUGGAUACAAAAAAUGUGGUACAUUUACACAAUGGAGUACUAGUCAGCUAUUAAAAAAAACAGAUUUAUGAAAUUCUUGGGCAAAUGGAUGUAACUAGAAAAUAUCAUCCUGAGAGAGGUAACCCAAUUACAAAAGAACACACAUGGUAUUCACUCACUGAUAAGUGGAUAUUAGCCCGGAAACUCGAAUACCCAAGACACAAUUCACUGACCACAUGAAGCUCUAUAAGCAAGAACACCAAAGUGUGGAUACUUCAGUCCUUCUUAGAAGGGGAAACAAAAUACCCAUGGGAGGAGUUACAGAGACAAAGUGUGGAGCAGAAACUGAAGGAAAGGUCAUCCAGAGACUGUCCCACCUGGAGAUCCAUCCCAUAUACAGUCACCAAAACCAGACACUAUUGUGGAUGCCAACAAGUGCUUGCUGACAGGAGCCUGAUAUAGCUGUCUCCUGAGGGACUCCACCAGUGCCUGACAAAUACAGAGGUAGUUGCUCUUAGCCAACCAUUGAAGUGAGCACAGAGUCCCCAAUGAAGGAACUAGAGAAAGGACACAAGGAGCUGAAGGGGUUUGCAGCCCCAUAGGAGGAAGAACAAUAUGAACCAACCAGACCCCCCAGAGCUCCCAGGGAUUAAACCACCAACCAAAGAGUACAAAUGAAGGGACCCAUAACUCCAGCCACAUAUGUAGCAGAGGAUGGCCUUGUCAGUCAUCAAUGGGAGGAGAGGCCCUUGGUCCUGUGAAGGCUCUAUACCCCAGUAUAGGGGAAUGCCAGAGCCAGGAAGGGGGAUUAGGUAGGUUGGUGAGCAGGGGGAUGGAGGGAAUAGGGGAGUUUUGGAGGGGAAACCAGGAAAGGGGAUAACAUUUAAAAUGUAAAUAAAAAAAUAUCUA